UCGAUGGUAACAUUUAUAUAUAGCUUAUGAAUGCAUGUGUUUAUCUAAUUAUUCAUUAAUUCGUUUAUUUAUUAAUUUGAGCAUUAGCGCUCCAUCGACAUUUUUUUUUGUUCUUUUUAGAAAAUUGCUCUAACGGAACAGCUUAUCCCGGCCUUUCUCGGGUUUAGUUGCUGUUGCUUGACCGCGACGAUUGACACCAGAGUUUGCUAUGGUCGUAUUGUCGUCGUGUAAUCGUGUUAUCGCUGUUAACACACUUUGUUUAUAUCUAUUAAGAUGCAACAGCAUUAUUUAUUUUCCGGAAUAUGGCUAGCGUUGUUCCUCCUUAUAAGACGAAGACGUUUGAAAUUAGCACCUGUGUCAAUCGUCAAACGGUUGGCAAUAAAGUACAAUAAAUGAUAGGAGCAAAAACGCGAUGGCUGUUAGUGAUUUGCGAAAUGAAAUCAACAGCCAUUUUACAUUUUUUAUCUUAAACAAGUCCUAUAUUAACCCCUGAAAGCUACCAAAGCUACAAUUUUUGAUUUCAUUUGUAUAAUUAGAGAAGAAUAGAUAAAAGGUGUAAUAUAGUAUCAAUAGGACAUUACAAUUAAUAAAAAUGGAAAAGCAAUGUGUUUAUCAAUAAAUAAUAUGUAAUAUAUAUAUACAGCAACUAUAAAUAGAGCGAUGUAACUAAAUAAAUUUAUUUUUAUUUCUUCCUUCUAUGGCAGCUUGUUUUAACAUUUCCCUGUAUGUUUACUCUUGCCGGUGCAUGUGUCAGUUUUCUUUUUAAAUAUUCUUUAUCAUAUUCUAUAUCUAUGUCUAUUCCCACGUGGUUUGUGGCGAUAGACUUAAAUAAGCACUGUAUUUGGGUAGUUACUAAAAGCUAUUUUUUCCUGACGAUCCUUCCCAGCUACACCGUGCAAGAAAAGUCCCAUCAAACAUUAACGCUGAUCAUUUUGGCUGGUGUACGGCUCACAAUACAAACAGAUCCUCUAGCAGCCGCUAUCACCGAUGCAGAAGCACUGGAGGGUAAUUGUUGUCUUACAACAGCGGACAUCAUACCACGCUGAUUCUUCGGAUCAUGAACUUCGACAAGCGAUGCAAUCGCAGAUGGUACUGGUAGAUCCCGCCAAUGCCUGUUGUCUACCGAUCUUCAUGCCUGAUUCCUGCGGUAGAGCAUCAGCAACCGGUACCACUGAUGGCGCAGCAGUACUAGUUGACGGUUGCUGUCCAUGUUGCUGGCCUAACGGACGGAAUGGUGCAGGAACACCAGGUAAUGUUGACCGAUGAUGAUUACCAUCACCGGCAUUCGAGACCAGCGCUGACACUUCAUCCGUUACCUUCAGCUGUUCAACAACACGGACGGGCAUUCUUUGUUGACUCGCGCUGACCGGCCACUGAAACCACCGAAGGCACUACACUUGUUGUCGGAAGUUGUACAACAACACGCACCGGCAAUCCGGGAGGACGGAUGGUACGAGGAAUUGCAACCGAAACCAUCGAUGGCACUGCACUUGUUGUCGGAAGUUGUCCAACAACACGGACCGGCAAUCUGGGAGGACGGAUAGCACGAGGAAUUGCAACCGGAACCACCGAUGGCACUGCACUUGUCGUCGGAAGUUGUCCAACAACACGGACUGGUACAUCUGACUGACGAAGCAUUUUAUGUCCCCAUUCUUGGUGUUUCCGGGUUACUCGCCAUCGCGCUGUAGUCGGAUCAUACUGCACCUGUCCUGCUUCGAUUAAUGCCUCCGCAAAGACAACAUUAGAGCACGCGUUCCUAUUCCUCAUCCUCCGGCACCGUCUGGAGAAUGUGGGAGUCACUGCUCUAUAAAAACCACCGGACUACCACAAACUGGAAACAGCGGACAACCCCGUGGGUCACCGGCCACCGUGCUAAAUUGAAGCAAAGUUGAACUAAUAUGCCGUGCGAAAAAGCAAAAUAAAUAUUUCAUUUUAAUGUUUAUUAAGCUACACCGACAUUAUAUUUUUCAUCUAAAACGUUUUUGAUGUGUUUUUUCUCAUCGCGUUUAGGUGUCGUGUAUCAGAUCGCAACUGCUAAUAAUUUCGUCGUCUGAGGCGGACUGUUAUGGAGGUACAAAAUCUUCAGUGAUGAUGAAUACGUUCACGCAUCUACGAGCCGGUAAUUGGCGGUAUCCAGAUCAUCGUCGUACUGUUAGCUUACCUAAGCUAACGAAAUUAGCGUCAGUGUAAAAUGUAAGAGAAAGACAAAUUGACGAUAUAAUUAAUAUUAAUGGUUUACAUGGAUUGCGCUACACUAACAAUAUUUUUCUCUUAUAUUAUCUAUUUCAGCUGUGCUGUGAGAAUUACAGUUGGCCCUCACAACCGUCCGGAAGUCGCAGUGAUAAUGGUAACAUCAAGAUCAUCACCACCGCACGAAGCGCAGCAUAUUGACCCAAGCCCAAGCGGACAGCAACCACCUGCAGCAAACGUACGCCGAACGAAUGGUCGUGGUAGACGCGUUAGGAUUGCAAGGCGAUACUUGCGCUCUGAAAAUGCUAGCACAGAUGUUUGGGCCACAGAGGUGACGUUCCGAGAUUGUAAAAACAUGCCGGGCCCACAGUUUCAGAUAAGCCGUUCUCAUCAAUGCCAUACCAUGUACGGUCGGCUAGUUACACUUCAUCACGAAGGACAAUCACAUCUGGGUGAUGGAAUGCUGUCAAAACGAUGAAGCUGGCUUAGUCCUCGAU